rnacentral:lncRNA from 1 species
GGGAGGGCGGCUGGCGGCGGGGUCCCGGCGGCUGCACUUACUCGUGUCCCAACGGCGGCGACGCGGGGCUGAGCAACCGGUUCUUCCGAAAACAAACCGAAAAUGGCUGCGCUUAUCCAAUAAAAGUGGAAAAGGGAAGAUAAUGGCCUGAACAGUGACGUGCCUGCGGACGUAAAUGUAGAAGCAGCUAGCCCGCGGGGAUUUUGGCGGAGGAACCUCAAACAGAUGCCGUUUCCCAGGCUGUUUCUAAAUACACGG